rnacentral:misc_RNA from 1 species
AAGUCGUAACAAGGUUUCCGUAGGUGAACCUGCGGAAGGAUCAUUAAUAAUGAAGCCGGGCAACCGGUCCUUCUAACCCUUGAUUAUCUUAAUUUGUUGCUUUGGUGGGCCGCGCAAGCACCGGCUUAGGCUGGAUCGUGCCCGCCAGAGGACCCCAACUCUGUAUCAAAUAUUGUCUGAGUACUAUAAAAUAGUUAAAACUUUCAACAACGGAUCUCUUGGUUCUCGC